rnacentral:rRNA from 1 species
UAGGGAAUCUUGCGCAAUGGGCGAAAGCCUGACGCAGCGACGCCGCGUGAGUGAUGAAGGCCCUCGGGUUGUAAAGCUCUGUGGGGAGAGAAGAAUAAGUGCAGGCUAAUACUCUGCAUGAUGACGGUAUCUCCUUAGCAAGCACCGGCUAACUCUGUG